CAUAUACUAGUUGAUACAAUUUCCUGGUGCUAUGUUAAUGGAAGGAACAUAUGUUAUGCAUAUUAGGAAUAACAGAAAUACAUUUGUACAAGAACAUUUUUGACAGUACAACAAACUUUAAACCACACUUAACAUCAACAACGGACUCCUCUGAAAACAUAUACGUAAGGGAGCUACCAUUUGAUUUUUAUGGGGGGGCUAGGAUGAAAUUUGAAAAAAAUAGGCAGGACAGGAGUUUUGAGUAAAAAAAAAGGCAGGAUGAGACACUUGCAAAAAAAAAAAGUCAGGACGACAAUUUAGGUAAAAAAAAAAGUCAGGAUAAACUAGAAAAAAAGGCAGGACCGAACAGAGUGAAAAAUAAAAAGGCAGGACAGAGAUUACAGCUAAAAAAAAAAUGCAGGACAAAAUUUUUCAUCCUAGCCCCCCCAUAAAAAUCAAAUGGUAGCUCCCUAAUGCACACAAAGAUGAAUAGCAGCAAACAACGCAUAUCACAGAUAGUCCGAAUCCAAGAA
rnacentral:lncRNA from 1 species